AUUCAAACAAAACUUCUCCAGAUAUACCUUGUUUCUUUGAAAUGGAUACAAACAUGAAAAGAAAUAUCACUGAAGCAUCCAAAGAAGCCUUCUCCUCUACUGGAUCCACACAAGGUCAAGUAACUAGAAACAAACAUAUGGCAUACAGGAGUAUGGAGCAAUCUUUUGAAUUGUCAUCAGUUUGACCCGUGGCGGAUGGAUAGGAUAAUCUGGAGGACAGCGAAACAGGAACAAGAAGAAACCCCCUUCGUAAG